rnacentral:rRNA from 1 species
AUUGAACGCUGGCGGCAGGCCUAACACAUGCAAGUCGAACGAGUGGCGGACGGGUGAGUAAUGUCUGGGAAACUGCCUGAUGGAGGGGGGUAACUACUGGAAACGGUAGCUAAUACCGCAUACCAUCGGAUGUGCCCAGGUGGGAUUAGCUAGUAGGUGGGGUAACGGCUCACCUAGGCGACGAUCCCUAGCUGGUCUGAGAGGAUGACCAGCCACACUGGAACUGAGACACGGCCCAGACUCCUACGGGAGGCAGCAGUGGGGAAUAUUGCGCAAUGGGCGCAAGCCUGACGCAGCCAUGCCGCGUGUAUGAAGAAGGCCUUCGGGUUGUAAAGUACUUUCAGCGGCGAGGCGUUACUCGCAGAAGAAGCACCGGCUAACUCCGUGCCAGCAGCCGCGGUAAUAC